rnacentral:rRNA from 1 species
CGGAACGGGUGAGUAACGCGUGAGGAACCUGCCUCAAAGAGGGGGACAACAGUUGGAAACGACUGCUAAUACCGCAUAAGCCCACGGCUCGGCAUCGAGCAGAGGGAAAAGGAGUGAUCCGCUUUGAGAUGGCCUCGCGUCCGAUUAGCUAGUUGGUGAGGUAACGGCCCACCAAGGCAACGAUCGGUAGCCGGACCGAGAGGUUGAACGGCCACAUUGGGACUGAGACACGGCCCAG